rnacentral:rRNA from 1 species
UACGUAGGUGGCAAGCGUUGUCCGGAAUUAUUGGGCGUAAAGCGCGCGCAGGCGGCCUCUUAAGUCUGAUGUGAAAGCCCCCGGCUCAACCGGGGAGGGCCAUUGGAAACUGGGAGGCUUGAGUAUAGGAGAGAAGAGUGGAAUUCCACGUGUAGCGGUGAAUGCGUAGAGAUGUGGAGGAACACCAGUGGCGAAGGCGACUCUUUGGCCUAUAACUGACGCUGAGGCGCGAAAGCGUGGGGAGCAAACAGG